rnacentral:rRNA from 1 species
CGGGGUGCAGCAGGCGCGAAAACUUUACAAUGCGGGAAACCGUGAUAAGGGGACACCGAGUGCCAGCAUCAUAUGCUGGCUGUCCAGGUGUGUAAAAUACACCUGUCAGCAAGGGCCGGGCAAGACCGGUGCCAGCCGCCGCGGUAACACCGGCGGCCCGAGUGGUGAUCGUGAUUAUUGGGUCUAAAGGGUCCGUAGCCGGUUUGGUCAGUCCUCCGGGAAAUCUGACGGCUCAACCGUUAGGCUUUCGGGGGAUACUGCCAGGCUUGGAACCGGGAGAGGUAAGAGGUACUACAGGGGUAGGAGUGAAAUCUUGUAAUCCCUGUGAGACCACCUGUGGCGAAGGCGUCUUACCAGAACGGGUUCGACGGUGAGGGACGAAAGCUGGGGGCACGAACCGGAUUAGAUACCCGGGUAGUCCCAGCCGUAAACGAUGCUCGCUAGGUGUCAGGCAUGGCGCGACCGUGUCUGGUGCCGCAGGGAAGCCGUGAAGCGAGCCACCUGGGAAGUACGGCCGCAAGGCUGAAACUUAAAGGAAUGG